rnacentral:tRNA from 1 species
GCGGCAGNUCAGUUGGUAGAGCGCACCCUUGGUAAGGGUGAGGUCCCCAGUUCGACUCUGGGUAUCAGCACCA